CGGGUGAGUAACGCGUGGGUAACCUGCCUCACACAGGGGGAUAACAGUUGGAAACGGCUGCUAAUACCGCAUAAGCGCACAGUACCGCAUGGUACAGUGUGAAAAACUCCGGUGGUGUGAGAUGGAUCCGCGUCUGAUUAGCUAGUUGGCAGGGCAACGGCCUACCAAGGCGACGAUCAGUAGCCGACCUGAGAGGGUGACCGGCCACAUUGGGACUGAGACACGGCCCAA
rnacentral:rRNA from 1 species